rnacentral:rRNA from 1 species
UACGUAGGGGGCGAGCGUUGUCCGGAAUUAUUGGGCGUAAAGAGCGUGUAGGCGGUCCGGUAAGUCCGCUGUGAAAGUCCAGGGCUCAACCCUGGAAUGCCGGUGGAUACUGCCGGGCUAGAGUCCGGAAGAGGCGAGUGGAAUUCCUGGUGUAGCGGUGAAAUGCGCAGAUAUCAGGAGGAACACCGAUGGCGAAGGCAGCUCGCUGGGACGGGACUGACGCUGAGACGCGAAAGCGUGGGGAGCGAACAGG